UACGGGGGGUGCAAGCGUUAUCCGGAUUCACUGGGUUUAAAGGGUGUGUAGGCGGGUUAUUAAGUCAGUGGUGAAAUCUCCGGGCUCAACCCGGAAACUGCCAUUGAUACUAUUAGCCUUGAAUUCUGUUGAGGUGGGCGGAAUAUGUCAUGUAGCGGUGAAAUGCAUAGAUAUGACAUAGAACACCAACUGCGAAGGCAGCUCACUAAACAGCGAUUGACGCUGAGGCACGAAAGCGUGGGGAUCAAACAGG
rnacentral:rRNA from 1 species